rnacentral:lncRNA from 1 species
GGGAAUGUUUUAGUUUUCAUUUUAUUAGGAGAGAAAUCAACGACAUCGCGUAUGAAUUAGCUCGACGAUCAAUUUUCCAUAUAUCUUCGUUUGAGGGGCAUACACCUCCGCUUCGGCUUGUUAAUGCUCUUCAAACAUCUGCAUUAAUAAAAUUUGAUCAUCGCUUGUGUCGAAAAAAAAGCUUCCUUUUAUUUUCUUCUGGACACAAAUUAAGAACAAAAUACAACAAAAAUCAACGUCUGAAAUCGAUCUCUCCUCAUAUUUUCAUGAUGAACAUACAAGAAAAAUAUUUAAAAUUUCCAUGGCUUUUUCGUCAAGCAGUCCUCUUCUCCCAGGCCUUCGCAGAGAUCCUGCUCAACCAUGUCGUGCCCUUCCACUGACUGAAUUAUAUAUAAAGAACAAAUUUUUAAUGGUGAAUGAAUAUUAUCAUAAUUCAUCGGAAAAGAAGAAAAUGUAAUGAUCGACAAAGGGAAAACAUUACCUUGUGGGAGCUGCUGACGUCGAAGGAUUCGGGAUCGCCACGAUCGACCAUAGGGUCGAAAUUGUGGCCGGGGGGAAAGAAAAAAGGAAGAGGCCGACAAAGGAAAGAGGCAAGUCGGUGGGAGCAACUACGGGAGCUAGCGGAACUACUCCGGCAUGAUCGGGCCGGACUGCGGUGGUGGAGAGGCUGAAGAGGAGCAGCAAGGUGGUUAUCACCGUAACAUUUGAAGCCAUCAUGUUAAAAUUGUUCACUUUUGUUUUUUUUUACUUUAAAAUUUGGUGAAAUU